rnacentral:rRNA from 1 species
UACGUAGGGCGCAAGCGUUGUCCGGAAUUAUUGGGCGUAAAGAGCUCGUAGGCGGCUUGUCACGUCGGGUGUGAAAGCCCGGGGCUCAACCCCGGAACUGCCUUUAAACUGCAAUCGCUUGAAUCCAGGAGAGGUGAGUGGAAUUCCGGAGUGUAGAGGUGAAAUUCGUAGAUAUUCGGAAGAACACCAGUGGCGAAGGCGGCUACA